UUAGUUUACAAAAUUUACCAAAAUAAGAGUUAAAAUUACCAUAAAAUACCAUUCAAUAACAAUAGCAAUAACAUUUGUUUGAAAGUGAAUCCAAAUGAGACAAAACUACCCCAUUAUCUUACCCUACAUUAAUUACCAAUUAUUCAAACAAAACAUAAGUAAAUUUUCUUAGCACGUGUCACCGUUUUCAUUUGGCACGUAUCUUGACUUUUGGAGGAAAAUUUCGUCGGAUGCAGUACAGACUCUCCCAUCGUCUUCACUUCAUCAGCCGCUCAUCACCCUGUGUAGGUCCGCAUUCCGAUACACGCAACUCAGAGAUGAUGCGCAUUACGUACCUUUCCUCCUCUCCUUUUACUUUUUGAACGUCUUCCACUCCUCACUCGCUGGCCCAUCGCUACUAAUAAGUCUGAAACCAAGCUACUCCCUCUUUCAGUUUCACUCCAUAAUCGAUCUCGACCAGUAUUCGUCUUCUUCUCUUCUGUAGAUAUACCCCAUCUAUAAUUCAUAUACAUAUACGUACGAGCAUUAUACUUUUCUUACCAGAUGCUCACGCUAGCUCCAUCUUCUGCACCUAGUCUUUCGUUCACACACUUUCUGUAGAACCCUAGAUCUCGGUUUUGAGCUUACUUGUUGCUCGAAAAAUCAGUCGAUUAAGAAUGGAGCUUCGAUCUGUGGUUUUUUUGUUGCUGACGAGUGUUAUCUUUGGCGAGAGCGUCUUCGCCACCUUCUCGUCGAA
rnacentral:lncRNA from 1 species